CCAUACAUAUGUGAGUAAGUAAAAUUCUGAGGAUCGAAUCCCACCAUCGGAGUCGUGGGAUCUGAGUUCCGCCAUCGGAAUUCCUUGCCGCCGUGGAAUGCGCUUCGAACCACCCCAAGAUUGUAAGGCCUCGACUCACAUAUCCGUAAAGUAGAGAAAUGUCGGCUUCCAUGUCCGUGGGGUCAUAGGACCUGAGUGGAAUCAACCCGGAAUCUCCCCUUGUUGCAGACUUAAGUUUCUAGAUCUUAGAGAUUAAAUUCGGAUCUUAUGUUGCCAAGAUCGUAAUUCCACUUCUUCGGAUUUGGGCCUGUUUCGAGUUUAACGACUGAUGGAAUUAGAAAAGUUACGACUUUACGAUACUAAAAAAAUUGAAGAAAAGAAAUCACAAGUCUACGAAGAAAAGAAAGGAAGUAUACAAAAUAAAAAUGACUUAACUCGAUGAAAAUUGCUUGUUAAGUAUAACUAUAGAUUGGAACUGUUUUAAUACGCUGAAAGAACCGCUGCCUCUUUCUUUGAAGCACUUUGCAUAAAAAAUGAAGCCUCUGGCGAAAGGAACCGUUCAUUUCACGAAAUCUCUUCAAAGCGGCGCGGCAGCAAGAAACAAGGUCUCAAGGGAUAUGACCGAUCGUAGUACUUCACCGUUUGCUAGCCACUUGAGAAUGCGAUCUCUCCGCAACCAAAGUGGAAAAUGAACGUGUCACGGCGCGGAUUGUUACUCGAGAUCGACCUAUUAUUAAACUGCUAAUAGCUUGUAGAUGACGCGCACAAUCUGUAACAAUUAGUUUUGGCGCGAGCAAAGCUUCAUUAAAUACGUUCGAAUUACACGUUUUGAAUGGGAAUAAAUCGAGAUUCUCUG